UACGAAGGGGGCUAGCGUUGCUCGGAAUGACUGGGCGUAAAGGGCGCGUAGGCGGUUUGGCCAGUCAGAUGUGAAAUUCCUGGGCUCAACCUGGGGGCUGCAUUUGAUACGUUCGGACUAGAGUGGGGAAGAGGGUCGUGGAAUUCCCAGUGUAGAGGUGAAAUUCGUAGAUAUUGGGAAGAACACCGGUGGCGGAGGCGGGUCUCUGGGCCGAUACUGACGCUGAGGAGCGAAAGCGUGGGGAGCAAACAGG
rnacentral:rRNA from 1 species